GACACGGCUAUGAGGUGAGGAAAGCGGGGGUAGCAAUCAGGAUUAGAUAACCGUGGUAGUUCACCCGUAAACGAUGUCAACUAGCCGUUGGGUCCCUUGAAGACUUAGUGGCGCAGCUAACGCAAUAAGUUGACCGCCUUGGGGAGUACGGCCGCAAGGUUAAAACUCAAAUGAAUUGACGGGGGCCCGCACAAGCGGUGGAGCAUGUGGUUUAAUUUGAUGCAACGCGAAGAACCUUACCUACCCUUGACAUCGAGAGAACUUUCCAGAGAUGGAUUGGUGCCUUCGGGAACUCUUAGACAGGUGCUGCAUGGCUGUCGUCAGCUCGUGUUGUGAAAUGUUGGGUUAAGUCCCGUAACGAGCGCAACCCUUGUCCCUAUUUGCCAGCGAUUCGGUCGGGAACUCUAGGGAGACUGCCGGUGACAAACCGGAGGAAGGUGGGGACGACGUCAAGUCAUCAUGGCCCUUACGGGUAGGGCUACACACGUGCUACAAUGGCAAGUACAAAGGGUUGCAAUACGGCGACGUGGAGCCAAUCCCAUAAAGCUUGCCUCAGUCCGGAUUGGAGUCUGCAACUCGACUCCAUGAAGUCGGAAUCGCUAGUAAUCGUGGAUCAGAAUGCCACGGUGAAUACGUUCCCGGGCCUUGUACACACCGCCCGUCACACCAUGGGAGUGGACUGCACCAGAAGUGGUUAGCC
rnacentral:rRNA from 1 species